GGGAUUACAGGCGUGAGCCACUGCACCCAGCCCUAGCCUGCUUUCUUAAAUCAAGGAACGGGGCUCUAACAAGCCCAACAGGUCUCAACUCCAAGGCCCCCUUCCCGGCUGCUCACUGGCCCCUGCCGAGAGGGGUCCUUUGGGUACAGAAGCACUGACCUCCCUGUGUUCCCGGGGUUCCUGUCCGAGCCUGUGCUCUGCACACGUGCCCCUUCCCACGUGUCCCUUCCAUGGAUUAAUUUAGGAGUUAAUUCAUGAAGAGGUGCCCAGAGCUUGGCCCGGCCCCCGGUGAGAGGCAUUAUUUUUAUUCUUCCCCCUCCAGAACAGGGGUCUUGUCCGUCUUCUCCUUGGUGGUGUAUUGGAUGAAGUAGGUGCUCAGCAAAUGUAGGAGGAGGUGCAGACUCCACAUCUGCAAAGUCCAUGCACCCACUGCGGCCAGCACGCCAUCACUGCCUCCGGACAGUGCCCCGCCCUCCCUGUCUUUCCUUCCUGAGCUUUGGAACUAAGCAGUGAGAGUGGUUCAUGGUCGCAAUCCCUUCAAUAUCUGCGAAGAGCUUAUCUGAGGAUAUCUUGGUGCUGAUCACCUCUGAGAAGCAGCGUUGAUCUUGACUCACUGGAUCCGAUUCAUUCAGGAUAAGCCACACCCUAUUGCCAUUUUCUUCACGCUCCUCUAUUAUCUGGGGCAUAAAAUUAACAUUCAAUUUUCUUCUUUUUCUUUUAAGAGACAAGGUCUUGCUCUGUGGCCCAGGCUGGAGUGCAGUGGCACGAUCUCAGCUCACUGUAGCCUCCACCUCCCGGGUUCAAGGGAUCCUUGCACCUCAGCUUCUGGAGGAGCUGGGACCACAGAGGCAUGUCACUGCACCCAGAUAAUUUUCUAUUUUUUGUAGAGAUGGGGUCUCACUAUGUUUCCCAGGCUGGUCUCAAACUCCUGGCCUCAAGGGAUCCUCCCCCGUGGCCUCCCAAAGUGCUGAGAUUGCAGGCAUGAGCCUCCGUGCCCAGCCAAUGUUGAACUUUUGCUGGAAAGUCGUGCUGUUGUGUGUAUGUCAGUUGAAGCUGGGCGGGCAUCUUAGCCAAAUAUCUGGUGGUUUGGUGGCAUCAAAUUGUCUCCUCUUCCUUCAGUCCUAGAGGCAAAUGCAUGUCCCAUCCAUCAUUCACAGGUUUCUGCAAGGUUUGAAGUCUGCACACUUCAUUUCCAUUCUUUAUUGUUCCUAACUGGUCUUUCUUUCUUUCUUUCUUUUUCUUUCUUUCUUUCUUUUUUGUUUUUGAGAUGGAGUUUCGCUCUUGUUGCCUAGGCCGGAGGGCAGUGGCACUAUCUCAGCUCAUUGCAACCUCCACCUCCUGGGUUCAAGCAAUUCUCCUGCCUCAGCCUCCCAAGUGGCUGGGAUUACAGGCGCCUGCGACCAUGCCCAGCUAAUUUUUGUAUUUUUAGUAGAGACAGGGUUUCACCAUGUUGGCCAGGCUGGUCUCGAACUCCUGACCUCAAGUGAUCGGCCCACAUCGGCCUCCCAAAGUGCUGGGAUUACAGGCGUGAGCCACCACACCCGGCCUCCUAACUGAUGUUUCAGUUUGGAUCUGAAGAACGGGAAUUUUCAUAAUUUCUUUUUCAAGGUUUUUGAGAAUUAGUUUGUUGCCAUUUCCGAACUUCCAUCCCAUUGUGAUGUGCAUAACCAGUCGGCUUCCUUAGCCUCAUCCUCCACCCAGGGAAGCUCCGACCACGCCAGCACCAGGAAGGCCAGCCGGGGAGCAGCCUGGCCCAGGGGUCAGGAGCCGGGGCCUGUGUGACUGGGGCCUGUGUGGCUGGCACCUGGUGGAUGUGAGCCCCAGGACAGGGAGUUUCUGUGCCCAUGAGAUGGAAGCAGCUCACUUCUUGGCCCCUUUCAAGAAUCUGGGAAGAGCUCCAGGAGUCAGAGGUCUGGGUGCCAGUCCCAGCUCUGCUCCAAACUGGCCGUGUGACCUCAGCGAAGUUAUUUCCCAGUUUUGUUUUCUUCUUUUACAAAAUGACAGGGUGAGAGUCGUGAUUGGUUUUCUUAGUGUCAGAAGUGCUGAACUCUGUUAGAAAGCGUCUCAGGUUGUUUUGUUUGACAGUGACUACCCACUUUGCAGAGACCUGGGCUGCCCGCUCUCUGGGGAAUACUGGAGGUUAUGCCCCAUCUCCUGUCCUGUGGGAGAACCCACCCUCCGAACGAGGCUCUGGUGAGGUUUUCACAAUCAGUAACAAGGCCGAUCUCCAUCAAUGGAAGUCUCCCCGUUUGAGAUGGGGUGUGUGCUCCUUACCCAGGCUCCUGAACAAAACCCACCUCCUUGUCUUGGCACCACUGAGAGUGCACACCGAGGGGGCUCCAGCACCAGAUUGUGGGAACAGUCACGAGAAAGCAGCUCAGACUUCACACCCAGAGCCCUUGAUCCCUACACACCCAGUAUUCCUUCACAGCGCUCUUCCUGCUUCCUGGACACGUGGAACUGCUUCUCCAUCGGGGAGGAUCCAUCCAGAGCCCUUUGGGUGGGUGCUCAGGGCAAUAGCUGCUGCCUCUUCCUUCUGCUCAGUGCUGGGAGGCGUUACACUUUCCCCAUAUGGCACGGAGCAGAACGUGCACCUUUGGCUCUGGAAGGAAUGAACAUCCUACCCGUUAGUUAGCCCUGGGAGUCACUGACUCGGUUCUUCCCUGGACACCAAUGUCCUAUGGAGCACACAGAAAGCCACGGAAGUGUGGUCUGCGGGUUGAGGUGGGUAUUCAGAUGCCAGCCUGCAGCCCACUUACAUUGUUUCUUUUGGACUGACACCUUGCCGGAUGCUCAGAUGCCCACAGCGCAGGGGAAGGGACGGCCUAGAGUCCGAGGCGUGGGCAGGGAGCUGGCCCCCGUCCAUUGCUGCAGCUCCGCAGCAGCAGGACAGCCCUGGGAGGUGGAGACGGACUCCGUUCAUGUGGAUAAGCAGAGGAAAUUUGGCAGAAACGACCAAAUGCAAAAUACGUGUAGCAGCCUGAGACCGGCCGUCUACUGAAACAAAGGAUGCAGUUCAGUCGGAAACCACGCUUAGCUGAGUAGCUGUCUUUAGCCAUCCAGGCCCUGAGAACCAAUGAACAACCCAGCUUGGCCGCUUAGAACAUUUUUUCUAUACUUGAGUUAAAUAGAUAUCCAAGAACCAUUACUCGUUUUUAAUGUGGAGAAGUCGGUAUUCUAUUCUCGUGUUCUAUGUUUUUUAAAGUGGCAAUUUGAAUUAUUUCGUGCGAUAGAAAACCUUAAACACAAAGUAACGUUUCUAACAAAAGGGCUGUCGAUCAAGUGACAAACACGUCCUACUUUUAGAUACAAGCACGACUGAGGCAACGGCACGAAGACGCCUAAAGUGGGCUGCUGGGGAGACAAGAUCUGGCCGCGAAUGGAACUCGCGGCAGCUCAUUAACGGGACCGUCCAGCAGGAAGGUGGGUUGGCAGCCUUCUCCCAGGGCUCCCCACGAUCCCUACCCCUGGUGUGGCGUGGCCUUCCUCCUCACAUGUCGUCUGGACCAAGCAGUGUGUUGUUCUCAUCCAUAAAGAGUGAUGGGCCGGGCACGAUGGCCACACCUGUGAUCCCAGCACUGUGGGAGGCUGAGGCGGGAGGAUCUCCUGAGCCCAGGAGUUUGACACCAGCCUGGGUAGCAUAGGGAGACCCUGUCUCUACAGAAAAAAAGUUAGCCAGGUAUUCCAGAGGCUGAGGUGGGAGGAUCGCUUGAACCCAGGAGGUGGAGACUGCAGUGAGCCGUGAUCGCACCACUGCACUCCAACCUGGGCAACAGACUGAGACCCAGUUUCUAAAACAAAUAAUAAAAAGGCAGGGUGCAGUGGCUCAUACCUGUAAUCCCAGCACGUUGGGAGGCCAAGGUGGGCGGAUCACUUGAGGUCAGGAGUUCGAGACCAGCUGGCCCACAUGGUAAAACCCCAUCUCUACUAAAAUGCAAAAAUCAACCGGGCACAGUGGCACACGCCUGUAAUCCCAGCUCUUCAGGAGGCCGAGGCAGGAGAACUGGGAGGCAGAGAUUGCAGUGAGCUGAGAUCGUGCCACUGCACUCCAGGCUGGGUGACAGAGCUAGACACCAUCUUGAAAAAAAAUAAAAGUUAAAUAAAAAGAGUGAUGAGGCAUCCUGAGAUUCAUUUAUAAAAUGCCGUGAUUCAGGUCUCAGGGCACUGUCGCCCCUACUCACUUUGAUGAAGCCAGUGCUGGGUUGCUGCUGAGGUGGGGAGGUUCAUGGGCCAGGAACUGAAGGCAGCCAUGAGAGCCAGACCCCUCCACCACCCCCAAGACAGCAGGGAACUCACUCCAACAGCCACCCUGGGAUGCUGCCACAGCUGAGCCUGGAGGUGACCGUGACCCUGGCUGACGUCGGACUGCAGCUUUGUAAGGGAGACUGAGCCGGGACCCAGACCUACAAAAGCUGAGAUGAUAAACACUGUUUUAAGCUGCUGUGUGUCGCAGUGACUCGUGUGGUAGUGGAUUUCUAGCAGAGCCGUCGUUCGUGUCUGCCUUCUCUCAGCUCAACACUCUGUAGGGCCACCCAUGCCGUUGUGCAUGUCAACGGUGGAUUUUUUAUUGCGAGUAAUAUUUCAUUCCAUUGCAUGCUCACACCUCGGUUUGUUUAACUGUCUACCUGUUGAUGAGCUCUGGGACAUAUGCAGUUCUGGGCUAUUAUGAGUAAAGCUGCUUUUAACAUUUAAAUACAAGUCUGUGUAUGGA